rnacentral:snoRNA from 1 species
GGAAUAUGAUGAAGAACAAUUGGUCCAUGUUUUUGAUAAUCACGUGAUUAUUUCCAAUGAGACACUCAAUGCUUCUGAUUCU